rnacentral:rRNA from 1 species
GACGAACGCUGGCGGCGUGCCUAAUACAUGCAAGUAGAACGCUGAAGGAGGAGCUUGCUUCUCUGGAUGAGUUGCGAACGGGUGAGUAGCGCGUAGGUAACCUGCCUGGUAGCGGGGGAUAACUAUUGGAAACGAUAGCUAAUACCGCAUAAUAGUAGAUGUUGCAUGACAUUUGCUUAAAAGGUGCAAUUGCAUCACUACCAGAUGGACCUGCGUUGUAUUAGCUAGUUGGUGAGGUAACGGCUCACCAAGGCGACGAUACAUAGCCGACCUGAGAGGGUGAUCGGCCACACUGGGACUGAGACACGGCCCAGACUCCUACGGGAGGCAGCAGUAGGGAAUCUUCGGCAAUGGACGGAAGUCUGACCGAGCAACGCCGCGUGAGUGAAGAAGGUUUUCGGAUCGUAAAGCUCUGUUGUAAGAGAAGAACGAGUGUGAGAGUGGAAAGUUCACACUGUGACGGUAUCUUACCAGAAAGGGACGGCUAACUACGUG